GGGGUUACCAAGGGGCUGGGCAGGUUAGAAGGAGAACUAGUGUGUCAUAGAGGGAGUGUUUCUGCCUCGCAGGAAAGUUCCAAAGAUCUCGUUGCAUAAGGGCGAAUGUAUUUAAGCUGACCUAACACUGAGCUCAGUGUGGCUAAGGCGGUGAGUUUAACGUAGCUGUUUCAGACCCUCGGGCAGUAGGGCUCACUUGUCCGCUGAGGGAGAGGCAUCCGGGAUGCGGAGCUGCGCGUUAAGCGAGAUGGAGGCGCGGCGUGUGACUUCUCCGGAGCAAGGACUCGCCCGCGCGUCCUCUGUGUCGGCGCCGCGCCGGCCUGUCGCCGGGUCACAGCGGCCUUCACAGGCUGCCUCGGUACCAGAACCAGCCCCUCACGGGUCGUAGCUCACAUCCGGUAUAAUUCACCGCCCCUGGCCCUGUUGCCCAUGCGGCCUGGGUCCCUCACCCGUGGCAGCAGUUCUGGACCCCAUCCCCACCGGAGUUCGUGGCCCCGUGCCACUGCACCCCCAGCUUUCUGCGUGGUAAGUCGCGGCACUGCGCUGUCCCUUUCUGUCUUCUGGCGCUGCACCUCUGCCCGUGGAUGGCUCUGCCUUUCUGAAGGUGAACUGGCUGACCUCUGCCCGCCUGCAGAGCUUGACGGACG
rnacentral:lncRNA from 1 species